CUGAGAUCAUGAUAUGAGCCAAAAUCAAGGGUUGGAUGCACAAUCGACUGAGCCACCCAGUGCUAUUCCACGUGUUCUUUAUCCUGGCAACUUCUACUACAGCUGAGACAUACUUGAUUUCCUCUACUUCUUCGUGCCCCAAUCUAGAAGGCUGUCCUCCAUGUAGAAGCCUUCAAAAGAGUUAAGUAACAGCUAUCCACAAUGAAACCAUUAGAUUUGCUGAGGACUUAGAGGGAGACAAAACCAGUUUCUGUAAAAUAUUCUUGGUCAGCUAAUCCAGAGCCUCAGAAUGCCCUACUAAGUGGGAACCAUCUGAGAAAAAUAUGCAAAAAAUGACUCUACUCGGACUGGCACUAAUUCAUUUUGCAUAUAAAGCAGUGAAAAGGAAAAUUCAGCUAAGGGAAAAUGGAGAAGAAACUUAAAGUGACCAUCUACUAUGGGCCAGCAUGUGUUCUAGAAGAUGUCAGCUCCCAAGUCAUGUUAUAAAGUCAGCAUUAUUCUGAUAUCAAAACCAGACAGAAGAAAUAUAAGAAAACUUUUGAAGAAUAUCCUUCAUGAACAUAGACCCAAAAAUUAUCAACAAAAUAUUAGCAAAUUGAAUCUCACAACAUAUAAAAGGAAUAACAUACUAACAUCAAGCAGAAUUCAUUCCAGGAAUGCAAGAAUGAAUCAAUAUUCUAAAGAUGUUUCAAAGUAAUCUGCAAAUGAAGGUUCAAAAAAAAGCAAAAGUACAUAAUGAUAUCAAUUGAUGCAGAGCAAGCAUUUGACAGUACUUAACAACCACUCAUGGUGUAAUUUCUCAGUAAAUUGGGAGUGGAGUGGAACAUCCUCCACCUGUUAAAAAGCAUGUACAAGAAAACAUACCAUUAACGUUGAUGGAAGACUGAAUGCUGUCAUUCUCACAGAAAACAAGUUAAUAAUGUUCAUUCUCACCAUUCAUAUUCGUCAUAUGAUUAGAAUACUAGCCUAUACAAUAAAACAAGAAAAUUAAAUGCAUACAGAUAAGAAAGAAAGGGAACUUUUCUGUCAUGAGUUGAUGAUGGCAUUCAUAUUUCUACAUUUGAGUACUGAACAAAUAUAAACUGAUAUUAAAAAUAAAAACACUUAGGAUAGUAACCCAAAGAGCUAAACACUUAGGUAAAAAUCUAACAAAAUAUGUAUACAAUCUGUAUAGUGAAAAGUACAGAAUGAUGAUGAAAAAAACAAAGAUCUAAAUAAACAGAAAGAUGGACUUUG